rnacentral:rRNA from 1 species
CUAUGGCUUAACCAUAGAACUGCUUGGGAAACUGAUAAUCUAGAGUGAGGGAGAGGCAGAUGGAAUUGGUGGUGUAGGGGUAAAAUCCGUAGAGAUCACCAGGAAUACCCAUUGCGAAGGCGAUCUGCUGGAACUCAACUGACGCUAAUGCGUGAAAGCGUGGGGAGCAAACAGGAUUAGAUACCCUGGUAGUCCACGCCCUAAACGAUGUAUACUAGUUGUUGCUAAGCUAGUCUUGGCAGUAAUGCACCUAACGGAUUAAGUAUACCGCCUGGGGAGUACGGUCGCAAGAUUAAAACUCAAAGGAAUAGACGGGGACCCGCACAAGCGGUGGAGCAUGUGGUUUAAUUCGAAGAUACGCGAAGAACCUUACCCGGACUUGAUAUCUAACAAAUCAUCUAGAGAUAGAAGAGUGUCUGCUUGCAGAAAUGUUAAGACAGGUGCUGCACGGCUGUCGUCAGCUCGUGUCGUGAGAUGUUGGGUUAAGUCCCGCAACGAGCGCAACCCACGUCAUUAGUUGCUAACAGUUCGGCUGAGC